rnacentral:rRNA from 1 species
UACAGAGGGUGCAAGCGUUUAAUCGGAAUUACUGGGCGUAAAGCGUGCGUAGACGGUUAUUUAAGUCAGGUGUGAAAGCCCCGGGCUCAACCUGGGAAUUGCAUUUGAGACUGAAUAGCUAGGGUGCGGAAGAGGGAAGCGGAAUUUCCGGUGUAGCGGUGAAAUGCGUAGAUAUCGGAAGGAACAUCAGUGGCGAAAGCGACUUCCUGGACCAGUACCGACGUUCAGGCACGAAAGCGUGGGGAGCAAACAGG